CUCUCUACUUAUUCCAGGGCUUUUGCAUUUGAAAAUCAAUGAUGGGUGAGGCCACGCCGGCGUGAUCAUGAUAUUUUACGACAGUACUGAGUAUUUAUUUCGGGUCUUGUUGCAAGAGGUAGUGUUUGUUUAUAUUUAUCGCCAGUGAGAGUGAAUUUCUGGCGUUGAAAACUUUGAAAUGAGGUGCAUUGGUGCACCGGAUUGUAUUAGCAAUUCGGAGAGAGAGAGAGCAGGUUGUUUCUACCGUAGAUUGGGAGGGCAACAGGUUCACAAAACUGUGGGAAUGACAGCUGGUAACCAGCUGUACAUUUCAAGUGUUUGGGCUUCACUUUGACUGUUCACAAUACGAGAUGAAUAAAGCUGAUGGAAGGAAAAUAGUGUAGUGCAAUUUCUUCGAAAGUCAACGUUCCAAAUACGUGCACUUCUAAUGGGAAAUAACCAAAUAGCAAGGGCCGAAGCAGGCAGUAACGAAGCAUCUGUUCCUCACUCCGGUAUCCACUAAAGAACCACACAGCGUGCAAAGGAAGACGUAACAAUAUGAACUAGCAAUUUCCAGUCCAAACACUCACCUGAUGUUGGCUGAAUGAUUAACAGCUAAAAUAUUGUGGCAAGAAGUAGACAUCAUCUGAUUGCAAUCCCGAAACUUCAUGGUAUAGCAUAAUUUUCAUCUGUAAUUUUGUGUUUGUGAAAAGGAUUGUGAUAUACGAGGACAUUUUGUAGCAGGCAACAGUGUCAUGAAAUUAUCUGCAACAUCGAAACUGAGCAUUGUUAAUAAACACAAAAGUUUGUUAUAAAACUGGUUUUCAUUGGAGUACAUAAAAUAUGUUAUCUAGUAUUAGCUAACUGUUGAUUGGUAUUGCAGGCAUUUGAAGACAGUCAAAGGCCAAAACUGGCCAGUAAUGGAUUAAAGUCUGCCUGUACAAAAAAUCUUCAACAUCCUAUGGUAGACUUAAUAAAAUAUUCUGGGCUCUUAUGGUGUGGUCGGAUCAAUUUCUUGUUGAAACCCAACAUUUCAUCCCCAUCUGUGGAGGACAUCUUGAAUGGCAGUUGUAGCAUUUUCAAAAGUCUGAUGCACACAGUGGCUCUCAGCAAGCCUCAAGAAAUUCAUCUGACCAUGGCAUACUGGCUGGAACAUUCCCAGCCAUGAAAUUUUACAUUACAGCCUAUGCUAGACAUCAAAACUUGUUUCAGUUAAUUUUUUUAUUUAUUUUAUUCUCCAACACAAUAACAGUUAUGUCUAUAGAAGACAACAUUUGGUCCUCCUGCACAGCAACUGGGCUUCAACAUGGUCAUUUGAAAAGGUUGAAAGUGGAAAUCACUGAAGAUAAUUGUAAUUGUGUUGAGGGGGGACAAAUCAUAUCAUCAACCACAGAUGUCUACAGAAGACAUAUAAAAAAUAAUAAUGUCUUACUUUGUGAAUGGUCUGACAGAGUCUGUGUAUUGUACGCGAAAACAAAGUUGACACUCGACGUGGUGGCUGAGGGGAGCAACUGCAAAGGCAUUUCCCAUUUUCAGUUGCUCCCAUCAGCCAGUGUGCUGAGUGUCAACUUUGUUUGCAUGUUUAAUAAGUGUGAAUAGGUACUCAGCUCAGACUCAGCACAGGACGUACUGAUCAUUGGGCACAGGUACGUACUGUGCCCUUCAGCUGCCUUUCGUCUGUGGAUGAACCUAUUGUAUAUGAGAGGAUCUUCAGCAAAGGAAAUACAGAAUAUUUUCUUCAGUUGCUAUCAAAUCAAUCAAGGGCUAAUGAUCUUUGUAAAUCUAAUACAGAUGACAAGUACUCCCAUUUCAUAAUAAAACUGAGUAUUUUCAAAAAGCCUUCCUCAAAAAGAAAUUAGAGUGCAAAAACACAAACAAACCAAACAACUAGGCUGUAGCAGGAAUCAGUCUCCUGCAACAGGAAGAGAGAUUUUUUAAACUUAAAAAAAAAAUCCUUUCCAAGGAAUGUAAAAAAUAAAAUUAUUUCUGGACUAAGUCAUAAAAGAAGCUAAAUUAAGAGAAAAUAACCAAUAUAUCAGGGACUCUAUAAACCAGACUAAGCUAUUGUGGACAGCUGUGCAGAAACUUCCUGGGAAGAAGGAAACUCACAAGGAUAUUACUAUAUCCUAUAACAACAGUCUUAGUUGCAGGUCUGUUCCAAUCCAUUCUGUGCCACAAUCACAAAUGAUUUAAUGAUCGAAAAAAUUGGUAAAUUAGUUUUGAAGGAUUCCCAGGUACUUGCAAAACUCAAUAUUGACAAAAAAUACAUGACCCUCAGUCCUGCUAGUCAAGGUGAGCUAGGAAGAAUUAUAAGCUCCUUAAAAAAAUAGCAGUUCGACAGGAAUUGAUGAGAUCCCUGGUGAUAAUAAGAAAACUGUUGACAAACUUUAUUCUCACACCAUUAUUAACCAUUUGCAAUUCUUGACUGUCGGAGGGCAUUUUUCCUCAUCUGCUAAAAUCCUCUAAAGUCAUAAGAGAUUUGCUUGAAGAAAACGUCACGUUAUGGACCUGUAGCACUGCUAUUUGGCUUUUGAAAGAUUAUAAAUUAACUCUUUCUUGCUCAGGUAACAAGAUUUUUCAGUUGGAAGUAUAUAUUAUCAACAUGAUUUCAGAGCACAAUAUUCCACUGAGACUGCUACCUUUUAUCUUGUCAACCACAUCUUAAAUGCAAUUCAAAAUCACUCCAAAGUCUGUCAAAAAUUGGUUUUUAAUUUUUGUCUUAAAAAAUUCUCUGUAGUUUACUGAACAAGAAAAAGGACCACAGAAAGUACCAAAAUAGAUAAUUUCAAAGUGGCUGCACGCACCACAAUGUGCCCACAGCACACUGUCAGCUCUAUUGAAAAUAAUGUUUUGUUCUCAUUUGUUUCGUUUUUAUGACUUUUUAGUUAUUUAGGUUGGCUAACCUGUGAAAGCUUUACAGUUGCUUAUCUUUCAUUCAUACAGAGAGUUUAGUCAUAGUUUGCUGCUGUUUCAACAACUGUGUAUGGGAACACAUAUCAAAAGCUCUUCUAGUAGGACUAAAUACUUUGAAAAUAGGUGUGCUAAAUGCUGUUCUGUGUUUCAGUGACGGUGCGGUGUCAACGCUUAAUGUUGUGGAACUGAUGGGAGUGCCUGGUAGACUAAAUAUGCAUAGAGCUCUAAUAGACAUUGACCGAAGGAGACUUUCUGAAGCAAAAAAAAAAUCAGUGAUGGAAGCCACCAAAGAAGCAAGAAUAAGUAGUGAGAAAAAGAGAAGGGAGGAAGAACAAUAAAGAAAACAAGAUGAAUAUGGACCUGGGCUGUAUUAGUGUUAUCCAAGUUUAACAGGAAAAGCAAGUUUUAACUUUAUCUUGAAUUUCCAAAAAGUUAAAUUAUAAUUAAGUUCUGGUACACUUUGGGUGGAAACUAUUAAAGACAGAGACCUGAAAUUUUGAAAUAGCGUCUUAAAGAUUGCUUAAUCAAAAAGUAGACUACUCUUGUGACUUAACUCUGAAA